UACGAAGGGGGGCGAGCGUUUGUUUCGGAAUUACUGGGCGUAAAGGGCGCGCAGGCGGCUCUGAAAGUCAGAUGUGAAAGCCCCGGGCUUAACCUGGGAAUUGCAUUUGAUACUCUGGAGCUUGAGUACGGGAGAGGAGAGUGGAAUUCCCAGUGUAGAGGUGAAAUUCGUAGAUAUUGGGAAGAACACCGGUGGCGAAGGCGGCUCUCUGGACCGUAACUGACGCUGAGGCGCGAAAGCGUGGGGAGCAAACAGG
rnacentral:rRNA from 1 species